AGUGAACGCUGGCGGUAGGCCUAACACAUGCAAGUCGAACGGCAGCACAGUAAGAGCUUGCUCUUACGGGUGGCGAGUGGCGGACGGGUGAGGAAUACAUCGGAAUCUACUUUUUCGUGGGGGAUAACGUAGGGAAACUUACGCUAAUACCGCAUACGACCUACGGGUGAAAGCAGGGGAUCUUCGGACCUUGCGCGAUUGAAUGAGCCGAUGUCGGAUUAGCUAGUUGGCGGGGUAAAGGCCCACCAAGGCGACGAUCCGUAGCUGGUCUGAGAGGAUGAUCAGCCACACUGGAACGGAGACACGGUCCAGACUACUACGGGAGGCAGCAGUGGGGAAUAUUGGACAAUGGGCGCAAGCCUGAUCCAGCCAUACCGCGUGGGUGAAGAAGGCCUUCGGGUUGUAAAGCCCUUUUGUUGGGAAAGAAGAGCAGCAGGUUAAUACCCCGCUGUUCUGACGGUACCCAAAGAAUAAGCACCGGCUAACUUCGUG
rnacentral:rRNA from 1 species